rnacentral:misc_RNA from 1 species
GUAGGUGAACCUGCGGAAGGAUCAUUAACGAAUAUAAUUCAGAGGGGCUGUAGCUGGCCUUGGAAACGAGGCAUGUGCACGCUCUUCUGUCUUUCAUAACUCACCUGUGCACCUAAUGUAGGAUGCUCCUCCUUCGGGAGGGGGGACCUAUGUCUUCAUACGCCUCUUCGUGUAGAAAGUCUUAGAAUGUUUACUAUCAGAGAGUCGCGACUUCUAGGAGACGCGAAUCUCUGAGAUAAAAGUUAAUUACAACUUUCAGCAAUGGAUCUCUUGGCUCUC